rnacentral:rRNA from 1 species
GACGAACGCUGGCGGCGUGCUUAACACAUGCAAGUCGAACGGAAAGGCCCUGCUUGCCGGGUACUCGAGUGGCGAACGGGUGAGUAACACGUGGGUGAUCUGCCCUGCACUUCGGGAUAAGCCUGGGAAACUGGGUCUAAUACCGGAUAGGAGCCAUUUUUAGUGUGAUGGUUGGAAAGUUUUUUCGGUGUAGGAUGAGCUCGCGGCCUAUCAGCUUGUUGGUGGGGUAAUGGCCUACCAAGGCGGCGACGGGUAGCCGGCCUGAGAGGGUGGACGGCCACAUUGGGACUGAGAUACGGCCCAGACUCCUACGGGAGGCAGCAGUGGGGAAUAUUGCACAAUGGGCGCAAGCCUGAUGCAGCGACGCCGCGUGGGGGAUGACGGCCUUCGGGUUGUAAACGCCCUUCGCUAGGGACGAAGCUUUUUGUGACGGUACCUAGAUAAGAAGCACCGGCUAACUACGUG